rfam:Desulfovibrio africanus str. Walvis Bay, complete genome.
GUCUCCCUGGGGUGUGCGUGAUUGUCAUGUUUCUUUCUGAGCCAAUGACGACAUAACGGGUGCUGCUCCCGUCCGGGCCCGUGCGCAGCCCGCGAAAGCGGGAAAGCCUGACGGCCUGGCAGCGGCGCCCACCUGGUAAGCCAGGUUCAAAAGAACUGACGACACGGCUCCCUGGGGUAGCC